ACAUAAUUCAAGAUCAGUAAACUCAAUGUUUUUAACAAUAAAAAUAUUGUUAAAAACAUCAAGUUUGCCGAUCUUGAAUUAUGC
rnacentral:miRNA from 1 species